rnacentral:lncRNA from 1 species
AAUGGCUGCUCUAAAACGCCUUGGUGUAAACAACCCGGGGAAGGACUUCCUUGAACUGCCAGUUACCUGAGCGCCAUCCAUCUCACUAAAGCGUCUGCCCCAAGAGGGGUAGUACCGCCAGGAAAGAAAACAAAUAAAAGACACCCAGCAUGUCGCAGCGCAGGCACAGGGUGGGGAAUGCUGUCCCCUGGAGGGGCUGAGGGAUCCUCAGCAAGGAGCUAUGGAUCACACAUUUUGGAAGAGGCUGUGCUACUAGCCAGAAAAUUUUCCUCCUAAUGGAAGCCCAGCCAACCACAGGAUCUGCUGCAGACCACAGACCAGCCAAGCUCUACUAA